rnacentral:rRNA from 1 species
UAAUACGUAGGGGGCAAACGUUGCUCGGAAUUACUGGGCGUAAAGGGUGUGUAGGCGGCUGAGCAAGUCAAGGAUGAAAUCCCGGGGCUCAACUCCGGAAUUGUCCUUGAAACUGUUCAGCUUGAGGAUAGUUGAGGAGAGCGGAAUUCCCGGUGGAGCGGUGAAAUGCGUAGAUAUCGGGAGGAACACCAGAGGCGAAGGCGGUUCUCUGAGCUAUUCCUGACGCUGAGACACGAAAGCUAGGGGAGCAAACGGGAUUAGAUACCCCGGUAGUCCUAGCCGUAAACGAUGGGCACUAGAUGUUUCUGCUUUAAGCGGGAGUGUCGAAGUUAACGCGUUAAGUGCCCCGCCUGGGGAGUACGGUCGCAAGGCUG